rfam:Triticum urartu cultivar G1812 contig741491, whole genome shotgun sequence.
AAAGUACUCCCUCCGUCCGAAAAAACCUGUCCCAAGCUUGUCCCUCAAAUAGAUGUAUGUAUCACUAACUUGGUGCUAGAUACAUCCAAUUGAGGGACAAGCUUUUCCGGAUGGAGGGACUACAAG